CUCGACCCGGAAAUUGAAAAUCUGAACCCACCUCACCACCACCGGUUCCCUCCUCUUUUCGGCUCCUGCUUCUCUCUUGCUCCCCCGCUGGCUCUCUCUGAACUGCUUUCGAUUCAGUAAAAAUGGCAAACAAGCUCAAAGUAGACGAACUUCGAGCCGAAUUGGCUAAACGUGGACUUGACACCACCGGAACCAAAGCUUCCCUGGUUCGGAGACUCGAUGCAGCUCUCGAUGAAGAAAAAAGGCAAUCAAUGGACUCUGUUGAUGCUCGUGGUAGGAAGAAAAGAGAAAGGGACACUCAGGACGGGUUUUCUAAUGGAGCAGAGAAAAUCAAGGCCAUUGAGAAUUUUCGGGAAAUGAAUAUUAAGCAAUUACGCGAACAAGCGAAGCUUCGCGGUGUUUCCACCAACGGAACAAAGAAGGAAAUACUAGAGAGGCUUUGCAAUGGUUUAUCAGACAAUGACGGUUCUUGGGACACUCUUCAAGCUAAAGAAGAGGAGGAUAAAAACAAGGAGAAAAUUGUAACUGCAACCAAGAAGGGUGCAGCUGUGCUGGAUCAUUGUAUUUCAGAGCAGAUAAAGUUACAGUACCAUGUUUUGCAACUGGGUGAUGACGUGUAUGAUGCCAUGCUUAAUCAAACAAAUGUUGGGAAUAACAAUAACAAGUUCUAUGUUAUUCAACUUCUUGAAUCUGACGAUGGUGGUGGAUUCAUUGUCUACAAUAGAUGGGGAAGGGUUGGGGUCAGGGGUCAAGAUAAAAUGUUUGGUCCCUACACUUCCCGGGAUACUGCAAUUUAUGAGUUUGAACAAAAGUUCUAUGCUAAGACAAAGAAUUACUGGUCCAACAGAAAGGAGUUCAAAUGUUACCCCAACUGCUAUACCUGGUUGGAAAUGGACUAUAGUGAAAAGGAAAAAGAAUCAGUUGUCAAAGAAAAGUCUGACCCUGCUUUAGCAAUUCAACCUCGGGAAACAAAACUUGAGCCACGUGUUGCAAAAUUUAUCUCUCUUAUAUGCAAUAUAAGCAUGAUGAGGCAGCAAAUGAUGGAAAUAGGAUACAAUGCUAAUAAAUUACCACUUGGAAAGCUAAGCAGGUCAACAAUAUUGAAGGUAUGUUUGAUUUGAGGAUAAAGUCUAACAGAAUCUAAUUUAGUACUCAUAAAGUAUAACUACAAUUUCAAUGUUAGUCAAAUUUCAUUGAGAGGAGUCUCAAAGAAAAGAAAAAGGGAUCAACAUCUUAAUAUAUAUGUGACAUGCUUUAAGUUGCUUGUACAGAAAAUGACAUCUGGAGAAUUUCUGUUCUACUGGUAUAUUCAAAACUUUGGGGCUUUAAAGGGUCCAGUUGCAUGCUUGAGUAGAUGGGAUGUAGGUUUUGCUUAUGCCAAUCCUUUUCAACUAUAUUUUCGGAGAGAUUCUUUCUAAAAAUGUUGACAAAUAAAAAUUGAAGAAGUAGAUGCUCUUUAUAGAUGCAAUGUUUCUUGAUUGAAAUUAUGGUGCUGGAUGUGCUAUAGUGUUAGAAUGUAUCACUAAUAGCUGUGGUAUUUGCUUUGGAAUUUUGAUGUUGCAAGGCAGUUGAGAUUCUUUUAGACUUUAUUGACAUUUUCCUUACAGGAAUCAAACGCUGUUUUCGGUGCCUUAUCUGUUAUUUUCUGCUGCAAGCACAUGAUUAGUGAGAAAAACUGCUCUGUUGCUUUGGGUAUCAAUAUGUGUUUGGCAGUCUAUUGGUUCCACUGCACACCUUAGCAAGGAUUUGCUUGUCAAUUUUAUAUAGCAUUGUAAAACAACAGUGUUAUGAUACUCAAAACUUUCUCAAUUUGACAUCAUCAUUUGAUUAAUAGUGGAUACCCAGAUGCAAUUGUUAGCUACUUUAUUUGUGUGCAGUUUCACAGUGCAUGAUAACCAUUUCUUCUUUCCUCAGUGACCAUGGAACACCUAAUAAAUCUAUUUUCUUUGAAUUUGUGGAGGGCUAUGAUGUCUUGAAGAGGAUUGCUGACAUAAUUGGCACAACAAACAGGCUACAACUUGAGCAAUUGAGUGGGUGAGAAUAAGCAUGUGAUUUGACAGUGUAGACUAAAUUUUUUUUUUUUAUCUUUUUUUCCUAUGGAUUUGGUUUGAGAUGAUGGAAUCUGGACUGUGGCCUUAAUAAAGUAGUACACAGAAUUUUCAUUUUUGAUAGAAGUUUUCAUUGCAGAGAAUUCUACACAAUUAUUCCCCAUGACUUCGGGUUUAAAAAAAUGCGUAAGUUGUCUUUUUUUCUGUAUCUUUCUCGUCUCAGUCUCUAUCAUUGUCUCUCUCUCUGAGACUGAGAUCUUCAGGAUAUGGUUACUGCAUACUAGUAGUAAGAUGUCUUCUUCUUUGCAAGGACUGUCUUAUUAAUUUUAAAAUGUGUUGUGGCAGGUGAAUUUGUCAUUGACACUCCCCAAAAGUUAAAACACAAACUAGAGAUGGUUGAAGCCCUAGGUGAGAUUGAGGUUGCAACAAAGAUGUUGGAGGAUGAGUCUGGGAUGCAGGAUCCCUUAUAUUGUCGUUAUAAUCACCUGCAUUGUGAACUGAUACCACUUGAAGUUGAUUCGGAGGAAUUCUCUAUGAUUGCGAAAUAUAUGCAGAACACACAUGCAAAAACACACACACAGUAUUCUGUUGACAUUGUUCAAAUAUUCAAGGUCUCAAGAGAAGGUGAAGCUCAACAAUUCAGGAAGUUCUCCACUAUGAAAAACAGAAUGCUUUUAUGGCACGGUUCUCGUCUCUCAAACUGGACUGGCAUUCUAUCCCAAGGCUUGCGCAUUGCUCCCCCAGAAGCACCUUCAACAGGCUACAUGUUUGGAAAGGGGGUUUACUUUGCUGAUAUGUUUUCCAAAAGUGCAAAUUAUUGCUAUGCCACGCAUGCUUCUUCAGCUGGUGUGCUGCUUUUAUGCGAGGUUGCGCUUGGUGACAUGGCUGAGCUUUUACAUGCGGACUAUGAUGCUGAUAAGUUGCCACAUGGGAAGUUAAGCACAAAAGGAGUUGGCGCAACAGCUCCAGAUCUCUCAGGUGCUAAGACACUUGAGGAUGGUGUCAUUGUUCCCCUAGGGAAACCCAAAAAGCAAGGAGGCCCUAAGGGUACUUUACUGUACAACGAGUACAUCGUCUACAAUGUGGAUCAGAUUAGGAUGCGUUAUGCGGUUCAAGUGAAUUUCAAAUACAAAAAUUGACUAGCAUCAAUGUGAUUCUUCCAUUUCUGUUCUCAAAUUUGCAGUAUCGAAGCUAAUCUUCCAGUAUAACAGAAUAAUUCAAUGGGCAAGUCUUCUAUAUAUGUAUGUGGUAAAUGGUAAUACAGCAGUAUAAUGUAUCUACACUGUAUUUUAGGGGGAAAAAAUCUAAGAGUUAGGGUCCUCUGGGGAGAUGGAAAAGAGGGUUGCCGUGUGUCUUAUUGGGAUCAUGGUAUAGAAAAUGAUUACGUAACUUAAUGUAACACGUAACCUUGUAUGCUGGUUGAAGUGAAGAAAAUUGAGCACGAGCAUUCACUUCCAGUAUGGCCAGAGAUUCUCUUUGUUGAACUCAAAUUUCACAAAGUUAGCAGCUCCAUCUCUUAUUUUUGGAUAAGCCAUUAGCAAGAAAUAUUAAAUACGACUUCUUUUACUUGGCAAUAUCAUGUCCUGAAAAGUCUUCGCUGAUUGCUGACCUUCUUAAGGGAUAGUUGGGCUGUAAGGAAUUACCGGUAAAUGCGUCAGAAGAUACAAGAAAUUGAUCAUUUUUUACAAUGUACAAUGC
rnacentral:misc_RNA from 1 species